GUUUCUGUAGUGUAGUGGUUAUCACGUUCGCCUAACACGCGAAAGGUCCCUGGUUCGAACGAGGCAGAAACA
rnacentral:tRNA from 1 species